rnacentral:rRNA from 1 species
UCAAGAAUGCAGUCGAACGCUGAUUGCGAGGUAGCAAUAUUUCGCAGUCGGAGUGGCGCAAGGGUGCGUAACACGUGGGUAAUCUGCCGUAAAGACUGGGACAACUUGCUGAAAGGCGAGCUAAUACCGGAUGUUAAUGUUGGGAGGCCUCUCCUGACCUUCAAAGCUGGGGACCGCAAGGCCUGGCACUUUACGAUGAGCCCGCGGCCUAUCAGGUAGUUGGCGGGGUAAUGGCCCACCAAGCCUUAGACGGGUAGCUGGUCUGAGAGGACGACCAGCCACACUGGAACUGAGACACGGUCCAGACACCUACGGGUGGCAGCAGUCGAGAAUUUUUCACAAUGGGGGAAACCCUGAUGGAGCGACGCCGCGUGGGGGAUGAAGGGCUUCGGCUCGUAAACCCCUGUCAUUUGUGACCAAGGUCGUCGAUUGAACAGAUCGGCGGUUUGAUGGUAGCGAAAGAGGAAGGGACGGCUAACUCUGUGCCAGCAGCCGCGGUAAUACAGAGGUCCCAAGCGUUGUUCGGAUUCACUGGGCGUAAAGGGUGCGUAGGUGGUUGAGUAAGUCUGAUGUGAAAUCUCCGAGCUUAACUCGGAAAAUGCAUCGGAAACUGCUCGGCUAGAGGAUUGGAGGGGAGACUGGAAAUUCUCGGUGUAGCAGUGAAAUGCGUAGAUAUCGAGAGGAACACCAGUGGCGAAGCGAGUCUCUGGACAAUUCCUGACACUGAGCACGAAAGCUAGGGAGCAAACAGGAUUAGAUACCCUGUAGUCCUAGCUGUAACGGUGCACGUUUGCUGUAAUCGAUCGACCC